ACCUGUGCGGCCCCGCCCCUCACACCUGUGCGGCCCCGCCCCUCACACCUGUGCGGCCCCGCCCCUCACACCUGUGCGGCCCCGCCCCUCACACCUGUGCGGCCCCGCCCAUAAAUGCCGGCGGAUCCGCGCCGCUCCGCUCACUGUGGGGGAUGCUCGUCCCGGGUGCGGCCGGACCGGCGCUCGGAGCGCUGCGUGGAGCCCGAGGCGUUGAGGAUUUACUCAGCAACUGUAAAGGUUCCAUGUCUCUUUCCGGAAGAACUGAGCAGGACAAGUCCUGAGGGCUCACUUGGUCCGUGGCCAAAGUUCUGGAGAGUGUCAGGGCUGUCCAGCCUGCAGAGGGGCGUUUCCUGCAGUGAGAAGAAUAUGAACUCACAGCCUGGCAGUCCCCUGCAGUGAGAGCUCAGCAGACAUCCACAGAGGCAAGUCCAGCAUCUGAAAGAAAGAAGAAGAAAAAAGUUUCCUGGAGCCAUGAAACAGCCAAACAGCCAAUACCUGCAGGAUGCUAUUUCCUGACAGCACAUUCAGAGAGAAACAAACUGCAGGAUACUCUUGUCCAAGCAAGCAGAUGCUUUCCUCACCUGAGAGAGCUUUGAGGUGCUUAUUGGAGCCAUUUUGCUAGUCCUGGCUGCAGGUUAACAAGGCUUCCCUGCAGUGUUAGGGAGCUCUUGUGCCUGAGCUGGUUCUGUCCCACCAACCCCUGAGAGUGGCAGCACACAGUGUGUUGAUGAGGCUUUGUUGAUAUCAGCACUGAAUUCCUGCUGGCAUCUGCUGUGACUAUAAGGAGAGACAGGUCUGGUGAGUGACCACAGGUACCAGCCCACCUUAGAGAGCCUUGCCUGGGGGUGAGCUCAGUGCAGGGGAACUGUCUCAGGCACUCCAUCCUCAGGCUUUCCACCCUUACCAGGUGUGGGCAGUACUUUCUACUUCUCUUCUUCACCAAUACAGUGAAAGCAUCACAGUGGCCCUACAGAACUCCCUGGUCUCUUAGACACAGUGCCAGUGAAUUUCAGGAGCUUGCAAAAUAUCUUCCCUGUGACAGGCCCUUUCCUUGGUACACCUUUUACCCCUUUGGAAGCACAAGUUUUAGUUUCCCCUCCACAGACUGGAUCAUUCAGCUUCUAAAUAAUCAAUUCCAAAGCUUUUCCCUCAGCCUCCACUUUGCACCACCUUCCGUGCCUUAAAUCCAGCAGAUUCCUGGUCUCCCCCAGCAACUCAGAAGCUCCAGUUCUUACCAGUCUCUGGGGAAGUAGUUUGGGGCGGUGACACACAUCACUGCCAGUCCUGGCCACACUGCCUGAGGCAGCCACAGAGGAGCACAGACCUGAGCACUGGGACAGGGAUCUCUGCUGGAGUGUGUGCCAAGUGCUGUCCCCACACUGAGCGCUCAGCCUGGCAACCCAGAGGUGUGCCCUGACCCUGGAGCUCCUGGCUUAUCCACAGGAGUCAGACACUAGUUAUCUUGGCAAGGAUUUAAAAAAGAAUUAACAAAAACCAAAGCCAAGACCAACUAAUCAAACAAACAAACAACAACAAAACACAAAAAAAGAAAAAAAAUAAAGAGUGGUACAAUCUUGUUAUUUAACUGGGACUUUUAACAUCAGAAAAACAAGGUGCUGCCACUGCAGCAUCCUGAGACCACAAAAAUGCAUCUCUGGGAGUCACAGGCAAGUAACACCACAGGGGGGCUGGUUCCUCUGUCUUUGCUGACCUGUCUCAGGAAAUGGUACCUCUCUGUCCCAAGCUGGGAUAUCAAAAAGCUGCUGCUGUUCAAAGCCACGUUGUGCAGGCAGCCCACAGGUCUCCAUCCAGGCAGCAGAGGGGAAUGAGCCCAUGGCAGUGCUCAGAAAUACACAGCACCUCUGUCCUAAGGCCACACCUUGCAAUUCUCUCUGUGGCUGUGCGUGCUGGACAGAUUCCUGCUGCUGACUGCAGCUGAUUGCCAGGAGGUGAGUUCUGGACAAGAUGGAAUAAAAGCAUUUCUGUCUGUGAACUGGAAGGAGGUCAGCAGCUCCUGCAAUCACAGAGCAGCCUCUAGGUUGUGGAAGACAGGUAAUACAGAGAAUGGAGAACAUGAAGGAAGGGAUGAGCUGAUCCAUUUCCAGCAAGGAAAAGGUAGUACUUAUAAUUCACUGGCUGCUCUGCACAUUGAGUAAAUAGAAAAAAAGCUCAAAGUAAACCCAAACAACUGAAACACAAAAAGCCUCCCAAACUAAGUUCAACCUUGAACUUACCUUCAAGGGUGGCUGUGGAUUAGGCCCUGAGUGUUCCUUGCUUUGGUGAACGAUGCAGGUCCUUACUCAGACCCAGCAGCAGACCAGCACUGAGAGCAACACUGACUCCUCUGGCCUGACACUGUUCAUGUCCUAAACUCUCAGCAGAGUUCCAUCUUGACAAAAAUCUAUCAAAGUCCACAGAUUCCUUCCCUGGUACCACUAUCCAUGGUGUAUUGAGCUGUCAUUUUCUUUGCCAUGAGAAUGAACACCAAUUUGUCCAAGAAAUUUUGGAAAUAUCCCCCAUAUCCUAUUUUUCUCCUAAUGGUAAUUCCCCAGGCUCAGGGCAGAAUAAAUAAUGGAACCCAUCAGAAUAAACUGUGAAAAGCAAUGAAUUUUUCCAGGGAAUAGAGGUGGGUGUCUCAUUCUUCAGCAAGUUUGUGAUUUGAGAGGAGUACAGAAAGAGGGAAGGCCCAGAGAGAACAGCAGCAUUGGUGAGAAAGUGGCCCACAAGUGCUACUUUGCCAAUUGUACCUCAGUGUGGCAAUAUCACAUUCUGCUGGUGGUUUCCAAGAAUGGCCAGAACACGUAUUUGUACUCCCAGAGCACAGGGAACCCCUUGAGAAUUGCUUCCAUGCCAGCUGGUCUGACAAAUACGUGGAGGAACACUGUGAUGUGUAUGCUCAGAAACAAACACCUGGGAAGUGCAGUCUGCCCUGCAUUAGGAGCUCUCUAAAAUGAGAGCAAUCACUGCCAGAUAUGAUGCUGGGGGUUGCUGGUUUGCAAAUUAAAAACCAAAGGCUCUUAAUUUGCUCUAAUCCAGAACACAGCUCCAAUUUGAGAUGAAGAGAAGAAGAUUUCAUGAUAAGGACAAUCAGAUAUUGGAGCAGUUUGCUCACAGCAGCUAUGGGAACUCUGUCCUGGGAGGCUGUCAGCAAAACUCAGCAACCUGUUCCAAGUUCAAUGUUGAUCUAGAGAUGGGACUGAAGACAUUUGGAGGCCCUUCCUCCCUGAUUGAUCCUAUGCUAAUUGCCCAUUUUCUGCACAGCCAUUCUGAAAUGGAAGGGUUCUUCCUGUAUAAUUUAGUGGAUACACAUUUCUUGGGCACAAGGAUUGCUCUGUGACCUGAUGAAGCACAGGCAAAGUAACUUUCUCCUACUCUCACCUAUCCAACUGCCACAGCAAGUCUUGGGCUCCUGCAGCUGGCCAGACAGCUGUGCCAGGGCAUAUAAAUACAAGGAGAACCAUUUCGGAUUAUCUCCUGAGAACAGUCUGUUCUUUGGCUGAUUUGAUAACCAUAAAUUGGCACUUGCAUUUGCAUCUGCCUGGAAUUGUGUGGUAUUACAGCUUCAGUGGACACCUACUUUUUCGAAGAUCCAAGAAACUUGCUGCCAUUUCCAAUACUUAAAGCUUUUAUUUCUGUAAAAUUCUAUCAGUGCCGUUUGCCAGUUAUUAUCAAGCCUCCUUCCUUGUUUGGUUUCUCCUCAUGGUGCUGCUGAGAAAUGGUGGAUAUAGGUACAAUCCCAGGUCAUGCCAGCUACAUCUUCACUGCUUUUCAGUGCCAAAGGGUCCCUCAGGUAAGUAAAAAUUCUGUUUGAUGCCCUUUGGAAAGCAGUUUGUCUCUGCUCACAGCUAUGUUGUAAAUACCUUGCCUCAAGUUCAUCGGGUUUCAGGCCAGCCCUCUGCAAAUGGUGACCUCAAAGGCACAGCACAGUCACAGAUGUAUCACUGCAGCAUAUAUAAUUCAUACAGAAAAAGAAGAGAAAAAUCAUUCAAAUGCUUCUGCCAGCACAUGGAUGUGAAGUUUACGAUCAACAUUAAAAACCAGUUGAUGAAAUCAGUUAAACUUUUUUAUUUCAGUACUAAUGCAGUGUUUGUCCUGAUAAUAUCAUGAAGUAUAACCACUUCAAAUAUGAGGUUUCAUGGAGCUCUCCACUCUUGGAAGUGUCUACAUCCUAACACCAUUGUCCAGUGCAAAGCCAAGUUCUUGCUAUAUACUAUGAUUUACAAGCAGCAACACUCAGUAGUGAGAGGAUGCUGUUUGCACCAGCAAUGCAGGGGACUUGCAGAGCUCCAGCUGCAUUUAGCAUCCCACAGCAAAACCCACCUGCAUUUGCCACAAUGUUUUAUCUCUGCCAAGGCAGUCAGAUUUCAGUGUUUUCUGCAUAUGGAUUCUAGAAGUGUCUGUCACCACAGUACUUCACAAUUGAUCUGGUUUUUUACCUUGCUUGCUUGAUUUCACGUGUCAAGAUGAUCUAGCUGAGAUAACCAGUGACUUGGAUGUUCAAAGAGCUCUUGCUAAUGUCCCUCAUAAAAGCUGAACUGCUAUGAAAUAAAUGAACAUUUAAUCAGUUACUGACUACAGUAAUAAAAGUGGGAGGAUACCUUGCGCCCUCCAGAGGGAUUCCUGUUUGGACAUGUGGAUUUAUUAAAAGCUUAAGUAGAA